rnacentral:rRNA from 1 species
AGAGUUUGAUCAUGGCUCAGGAUCAACGCUGGCGGCGUGCCUAAUGCAUGCAAGUCGAACGGGGGUUCCUUCGGGGACCUUACGUGGCGGACGGGUGAGGAACACGUGGCCAAUCUGCCCACUGGCAGGGGGUAGCCGGCGGAAACGCCGGGUAAUUCCGUAUGAGCUCAGGGUCCGAGUGGGGAUGCUGAGGAAAGGGUCUUCGGACUCGCCGGUGGAGGAGGCUGCGGCCGAUUAGCUAGUUGGUGGGGUAACGGCCUACCAAGGCGACGAUGCGUAGCUGGUCUGAGAGGAUGAUCAGCCACACUGGGACUGAGACACGGCCCAGACUCCUACGGGAGGCAGCAGCCAGGAAUCUUGGGCAAUGGGCGAAAGCCUGACCCAGCAACACCGUGUGGGCGAUGAAGGCUCUAGGGUCGUAAAGCCCUGUUGAUAGGGACGAAGGGCGAAGGGUUAAUAGCCCCUAGCUUGACGGUACCUUUCGAGGAAGCCCCGGCUAACUACGUGCCAGCAGCCGCGGUAAUACGUAGGGGGCGAGCGUUGUCCGGAAUUAUUGGGCGUAAAGAGCGUGUAGGCGGUUCGGUAAGUCUGCUGUGAAAUCCUGGGGCUCAACCCUGGGCGUGCAGCGGAUACUGCCGGGCUAGAGGGUGGUAGAGGCGAGUGGAAUUCCGAGUGUAGCGGUGAAAUGCGCAGAUAUUCGGAGGAACACCAGUAGCGAAGGCGGCUCGCUGGGCCACACCUGACGCUGAGACGCGAAAGCGUGGGGAGCGAACAGGAUUAGAUACCCUCGUAGUCC